GACGAACGCUGGCGGCGUGCCUAAUACAUGCAAGUUGAGCGCUGAAGGUUGGUACUUGUACCAACUGGAUGAGCAGCGAACGGGUGAGUAACGCGUGGGGCAUCUGCCUUUGAGCGGGGGACAACAUUUGGAAACGAAUGCUAAUACCGCAUAAAAACUUUAAACACAAGUUUUAAGUUUGAAAGAUGCCAUUGCAUCACUCAAAGAUGAUCCCGCGUUGUAUUAGCUAGUUGGUGAGGUAAAGGCUCACCAAGGCGAUGAUACAUAGCCGACCUGAGAGGGUGAUCAGCCACAUUGGGACUGAGACACGGCCCAAACUGCUACGGGAGGCAGCAGUAGGGAAUCUUCGGCAAGGGACGAAAGUCUGACCGAGCAACGCCGCGUGAGUGAAGAAGGUUUUCGGAUCGUAAAACUCUGUUGGUAGAGAAGAACGUUGGUGAGAGUGGAAAGCUCAUCAAGUGACGGUAACUACCCAGAAAGGGACGGCUAACUACGUG
rnacentral:rRNA from 1 species